CCUCGAAGGGGUCAUCUCUUUUAGUGCGGCAGUAAAGGGUGUUGCCCCAAUGUGAUUUGUACAGCUGGUUGAACUGCUGUGGAUGUUUGUCAUGCUCUUCCAUGGCAUUCCAGGCUUCAAGCACCCUGUUCCGCUGCUCUGUGCUAAGUGACAGCUUGUCGUCUACCAAGCCAAUCUCCACCAGCACAGAGCAGAACCUUUCCAGCUUUUGAAAGCCAGGAAGAGGAUUUUGGCUGCAGGCGUCCUCCUUUAAAAAAACAAAAGACAUACGAAUGUGGAUAACCAGAACAGAGAAAGCCGGAUCCAGGGAUGCAAGCCGAGAGGCGCUCUAUCAAUGAAAACCGAGCUGAGGCACCAGAAGGAAUAGGCGAGAGACAAGGUUGAAAAACAGGCAGGGAAGUCGUAAGCCGGGGGGUCAGUCCUACAAGGAGGCGCGGGACAGGAAUACACAAGGGCACAGGCACGGGAACGAGACGAGCCGGAGCAGGCAGGGUAGAGGGGUCAGGUGCGGGAACGGGUCUGGAACGGGAUAGAGAGAGGGGUAAGGAGAGGACACGAGGCAAACAGGCAGGGUCUGGUAGCAGGGAGAGACAAUCGACAAGAAAGUGCUUAGCAAGGCUUCUAAUCAUCAGCGCAAUACUUCGCACUGGGCUGGUGACUUCUGGCUGGCUUUAUACCUAGGCUCAGUACACUGAAUGAGCCUCUGCUGGUGGUGUCCGCCUGUGGGGGCAUAACAGUACCCCCCCCCUGACGGCUGCCUCCCGGAGGCCGAAGACGCUUGCGGGGCCGACCCCGAGGGCGCGGAGCAGGGCGGGAGGGGUGAGACUGGUGAAAGGCGGUCUUGAGGUCUGGGUCGUCAAUCGCGCUGGCCGGCAACCAGCUACUGUCCUCCCGGGAUUCCCCCUCCCAGUGGACCAGAUACUGGAGUUGACCCUUCUGGCGGCAAGAAUCCAGGAUGGAGCGGACUCGUGGGGCCGGGUCCACCUCAGGCACGUCCUCUGGGGAGUCGUCCAGCGGAGGGACAUCGGGCCGUAGGGAACUGAACUUCACCGCUUUCAGCAGUGAGGCAUGAAAGGUAGGGCAGAUGCGAUAGACUUUAGGGAGUUGUAAACGAUAAGCCACGGGUCCCACUCGCCUCAGGAUACGGAAGGGUCCGAGGAACCGCGCGGUCAACUUCUUACACCCUGGGAGACGUAGAUUCCGUGUCGACAGCCACACCAACUGACCUACCCGAUAAGUGGGUCCCGCCGGAUGGAUAGACAGUGGAAGUUUCAUCGCUGGUGAGUGUGAUGUGGGAGAGGACAGCAUCCGGAACAUCGUCCUGUAGCUCCACAUUGCUCUCGUACGCCUCGUCUGGAUCGGGCUGCCCGGGCUGAACCACCUCCUCCUCCGGACCAGCUCGUCGGAAGGGACAUCAGCAGGGGUCCGGAAAUUCUCUUCCACAGUCUCACCAAACAGCUGCUGACAGCGGGUGUUGAGGCGGUCGAUCAGC